CACAGCACAGCCAGAUUUAGUAAGGCAAUACACGCUAGCAGCUCGAUCAAUGGCAGCGACUACAAAGCGAGAGCGCUCGUCGUGGCUCUCGCGUUCGUCUUCUUCUUUGAGGGGCCAACAGCAAUGGCGGCGGCGUCGGGGACGGGGACGACCGCCGGAGGAGGAUCGUCGGUGCGAAGCUUCCUCAGGCGGGUCAACAAGGCAUUCAGGCAAAGACUCGCGAAGUUAAAUCCCCCACGGAGCUCUCAGCGGUUUGGCUUCGUGAAGAUUCCGCGACCAGAAGCCGAACUUAACUGACUUCGACCGAAGAAGGCGGGAAGUUUACGGAAGCUUGCUCGGUCUCUACGAAGCGUAUGGAUGAGGAAGAGGGUAAUCAAGACGGCCCUGGGACCACUUUAUAGCAGGAUGACUCUGUAAUAAGAAUCUUGUACAAGGUUGGAUAUGUAAUUUUACCAUGAAAGCGACAUCUCGAAUAGGAACCAAGUUACUGUCCUGUAUGGAAUAUUCUUAGGAUGUAGUGGUUGAGUAUGGGUAUAACGGGGAUGCAGAAAUGUAACUUUUUAGCCCUAUAUAGGGAGAUGAACCGUCCCCCCCGGGAGGGCAUUAAUCAUUAAUAGGAUAGCUACUGUAACGUUUGUCUGAACGACCGUUAUCUUCGUUUGUCAUA